rnacentral:rRNA from 1 species
UAACACGUAGGGGGCGAGCGUUGUUCGGAAUCAUUGGGCGUAAAGGGCGUGCAGGCGGUGUUGCAAGUCUGGCGUGAAAGAUCUCGGCUUAACCGAGGGAACGCGCUGGAAACUGUAAUACUAGAGUACAGGAGGGGACAUUGGAAUUCCAGGUGUAGGGGUGAAAUCUGUAGAUAUCUGGAAGAACACCGGUGGCGAAGGCGAAUGUCUGGCCAUGUACUGACGCUGAGACGCGAAGGUGCGGGGAGCAAACAGGUUUAGAUACCCUGGUAGUCCGCACAGUAAACGAUGUACACUAGGUGGUGGGUAAUAGUAUUCACUACCGCAGCUAACGCAUUAAGUGUACCGCCUGGGGAGUAUGCUCGCAAGGGUG